rnacentral:tRNA from 1 species
GUCUCGAAAUCCCGUAGGGACAAGACUGUAAAUCUUGAGGUCGCUGGUUCGAUCCCGGCUCGGGGGA